rnacentral:rRNA from 1 species
UACGAAGGGGGCUAUCGUUGCUCGGAAUCACUGGGCGUAAAGGGUGCGUAGGCGGGUCUUUAAGUCAGGGGUGAAAUCCCAGAGCUCAACUCUGGAACUGCCUUUGAUACUGUCGAUCUGGAGUAUGGAAGAGGUGAGUGGAAUUCCGAGUGUAGAGGUGAAAUUCGUAGAUAUUCGGAGGAACACCAGUGGCGAAGGCGGCUCACUGGUCCAUUACUGACGCUGAGGUGCGAAAGCGUGGGGAGCAAACAGG